AGAGUUUGAUCCUGGCUCAGAUUGAACGCUGGCGGCAGGCCUAACACAUGCAAGUCGAGCGGAUGAGAAGAGCUUGCUCUUCGAUUCAGCGGCGGACGGGUGAGUAAUGCCUAGGAAUCUGCCUGGUAGUGGGGGAUAACGUUCCGAAAGGAACGCUAAUACCGCAUACGUCCUACGGGAGAAAGCAGGGGACCUUCGGGCCUUGCGCUAUCAGAUGAGCCUAGGUCGGAUUAGCUAGUUGGUGAGGUAAUGGCUCACCAAGGCGACGAUCCGUAACUGGUCUGAGAGGAUGAUCAGUCACACUGGAACUGAGACACGGUCCAGACUCCUACGGGAGGCAGCAGUGGGGAAUAUUGGACAAUGGGCGAAAGCCUGAUCCAGCCAUGCCGCGUGUGUGAAGAAGGUCUUCGGAUUGUAAAGCACUUUAAGUUGGGAGGAAGGGCAUUAACCUAAUACGUUAGUGUUUUGACGUUACCGACAGAAUAAGCACCGGCUAACUUCGUGCCAGCAGCCGCGGUAAUACGAAGGGUGCAAGCGUUAAUCGGAAUUACUGGGCGUAAAGCGCGCGUAGGUGGUUCGUUAAGUUGGAUGUGAAAGCCCCGGGCUCAACCUGGGAACUGCAUCCAAAACUGGCGAGCUAGAGUACGGUAGAGGGUGGUGGAAUUUCCUGUGUAGCGGUGAAAUGCGUAGA
rnacentral:rRNA from 1 species